CAGCACACUUAGAUAAAAUUGAAGUGAAGAGAUGUGAGGUUUAUCUUCUUCUUCGAAUGAAAGAUAGUUCAAACAAAUUUAUAGAGUUUUGAAAAGUCAUGUAUAAAAAGAUAUAUGAACUAAAGUGAUGCAUGAACUCAAGAGUUACGUGAACUCAAUAGAUACAUGAACUUAAAAAUACACAAACUCAUCGUGUAACUAUUUCAUGUCCUCCCGCUGUCUUAUGAUUUGCGGACUAGCGUGGCACUGUUCCGGUUAUUCACUGCAUCAGAUUAUGUUGCUGCCCAGUGUCUUAGGGGUCAAAAAAGGAAAAUAAAAGAGAAAUUGCAUGUUAUUCUCGACAUGAGAUAUUUGCACCCAUCAUGUGACUAUUUCAUGUCCUCCCGCUGUCUUUAACUAGGCAGAAGUCUGAAACCUGUACUUAUUCAUGUCUAGUUUUUAGAUUAGCUAUAUGAUAGCUGAAGCUGCUGCAACCGUUGAACCUAGUUUAUUCUGUGUAGGUAUACGCCUUCCAUGUGGUCAUUUGAAAAUGCAUUCGCUAUCUCAUUCAGUUCUUUCUUAAAUUAUUCUUAGACAUGGUGGUAAUGCCGAUAUCUGAUUUCAGGAGAAGAAUAAUGUACCAUCAUAUGGAGAUCUUCAAGAAAGAUGAUGUCAUAGUGACGCCAACUACUGGUUAUGUCAUCGUGUGACUAGCUCAACUUGGUGUUUCCCUUCGAGGAUGCAGUUUCAAUGCUUGAUGAUGUGUAAUUGGACUUGGCAAGCCUGAUAUAAGCAUAGUUUUUGUCCUUUCAAUCAUCCAAGUUUGAUGAGGAGCAAGCUGGUAGUAUGCAUAAUUGGAUUUAAAUUUGUGAUCUCUGCUUCAAUGGCUUGGCAGACUGAAUCAGAAUCACACUACUUAAAUUUUGGGUUUUCUGUCCUUCAAUGUUAGCUUAAUUCUUCUUUUAGAUUUUCAACUGACACAAAAAUUGUUUAUUACAGAAUGACAGCACCUAAAAUACCUCCUAGUGCCCUUAAAUAUGGGGAAAUGGAUUUGCAGGUUACAGGUUAUCUCAUGUGAUUCGUCACUGCUGCAAAUCUUCUAGGUCUUCCUACCAUUUCUGUCCCGAUCGGGUAUGAUAGGCAAGGCCUUCCAAUUGGUUUGCAACUAAUGGGCCGUCCAUGGGGUGAAGCUUCAGUUUUGCGCCUAGCUCUGUAGUUGUGGUAUAUCUUUUUUCAUUUCACGCGCCAAUUCUUCAAGCAAUUUGAGAGACAAAUGCUAUCACUUGCCUAGUUUUCUCUUGCUCUGACGAACUCUGUGGAUCUAAGAAGAGGCCUCUAUCAUUCUAUGAUGUUCUGAAGACGAGCUGAAUCCGGCUUAGCUCCUAUUGCUGAUUCUUCUCUCCUGCUGAUUGUAUGGGUUCUGAGGCACGUGGGGAGAUCUUUGCAGUGAUUUAAUUGCUCCUGAUUUAGCAGAGACCUCUAAUGUCGAUUCGGAAAGGACUUAAUUAUUUGUAUACUUUUGUGGCUAGAUUUUAGCUUUUUUAAAGCUUGAUUACGAUAUGAAGAUUCGCUUUUAAUCAGAUAAAUCGUUUAUAGACAAUGACUUUCCCCCAAAGAUGUCAAUUGUUCAAUUAAUCCACGGUUUCCCUGUUGCUUA